rnacentral:misc_RNA from 1 species
AGCAAGACCCUAGAACUCGAGCGAGGAAAAAAGAAAAAAACAAAAGGUGAUAAUGGAGCGACGAGCGAGCGCUUCGUGACAAAGCAUGUAAGAACUGAGAAGCAGCUGUCGGGACUGCAUGGUCAGAAUCACGUGAAGCUAGAGAGGAAAGGAGGGCUAAAGCUAUAUAGUUUGAUGUGUAAAAAAUAUAGUAAUUUGAUG